rnacentral:lncRNA from 1 species
CAGGGCCCUCUGGGGAUGGCAUGAUUCCCAGAAUGCAGCUGGUCGCAGGGACCCAGGCCUCUGGGUAGCUCAGAUCAUCCCUUCCCCAAGUUCUGGGUUCCCUCUAUACUCUUCCCAAGCUAGUGUCCACACCACCCCUGGAGAGCUGGCUGGUUGGAAUGUCUUCUCUCUGCCACGCUUGGCCUUUUGGUCCACCUGUGAAUCAACUACUAUUGGAUGGAAACACUCUUUCCCAUAUUUGCCUAGGCUGGGCAGCUUGCUCUUACUUGCCGAGGAAAGGCCACUCUGUUUGGCUGUUACUGGAGGCCCCUGGGGGUCUCAGACCCUGUCCACAGACAGCAGUUACUAUGGGGGGAAAGGCAUGGGUGUGGAGUCAGACUGGAUUAUAGCUCCUGGGCUUGUCAGCUAUGUGAUUUUGGACAAACUAACUUACUUCUCAGAGACGCUGUUUCCUUAUCUGGAAAUAGUAUGGCAGUGCCUUAUGGGGUUGUCAUGAGGACUGGAGAUAAGUAUCAGAGCUCCUAGCAGGGGUCAAUAGACAAACCUUCUUGCCCUUGCACACCUUAUCACAUGUGACUUUUCUCUUCCAAUCUCCUCUCUGGCCAAAAUGAUCAGUUUGUUCAGCAGUCAUGUGCUGAGAGUCUACUUUGCACCAGGCACCGUGACCUUUAUCUCCACAGCCCUGGGAAGUUGAUGCCUUUAAGCUCAUUUGAUUCAAGAGGCCACUGUGGCUUGGAGAGAGAAUAAGGGUUAGAAGGCUACCAGCCGGUAGAGCCAGGAGUUGAUGCUGGGUCUUCAAGAACUAAUGGGAACCCCAUUCCAUGGGCUUCCGUGGAUGGUUUCUCUGCCUGGAAUGUCCUCCCACCUCUUCUCUUUUCUGGAUCAUUCAGGGUCUCAUUCCUUCUGUUGCCUCCAGAACACCUUCCGAAUCAGUGAGGACACUUGUGGUUGCGUGUGGAAGUUAGUUGCAAGUUUGCUGACGAUUUCCUCUGACCAGAUGAGCUAUUAUCUCACAAAAGCAAGGACGGUCUCCUCUAUUAUCACUAUUAUCACACUCAAUAAAUUUAAAUUGAUGCAAUAUUGCCUAAUAUAUAUUCCAUAUUAAACUCUCUCCGUGUUCUUUUUAAUCUAGAAUCUUUUAAAAAAAAUUUUUUUUUAACGUUUAUUUAUUAUUGAGAGACAGAGACAGAGCAUGAGCAUGGGAGGGACAGAGAGAGAGGGGGACACACAGUCCGAAAGCAGACUCCAGG